UACGUAGGUGGCAAGCGUUGUUCGGAAUUAUUGGGCUUAAAGGGCGCGUAGGCGGGCCGCCAAGUCCGCGGUGAAAUCCCCCGGCUCAACCGGGGAACUGCCGCGGAUACUGGAGGUCUCGAGGGGGGUAGGGGCAUGCGGAACUGCGGGUGGAGCGGUGAAAUGCGUUGAUAUCCGCAGGAACUCCGGUGGCGAAGGCGGCGUGCUGGACCCUUUCUGACGCUGAGGCGCGAAAGCCAGGGGAGCGAACGGG
rnacentral:rRNA from 1 species